rnacentral:rRNA from 1 species
CCUACGGGGGGCAGCAGUAGGGAAUCUUCCACAAUGGACGAAAGUCUGAUGGAGCAACGCCGCGUGAGUGAAGAAGGGUUUCGGCUCGUAAAACCCUGUUGGUAGUGAAGAAAGAUAGAGGGAGUAACUGGCCUUUUUUUGACGGUAACUACUUAGAAAGUCACGGCUAACUACGUGCCAGCAGCCGCGGUAAUACGUAGGUGGCAAGCGUUAUCCGGAUUUAUUGGGCGUAAAGGGAGUGCAGGCGGUUUUUUAAGUCUGAU